GUUUAGAUUUUGUAGGAUAUAUUUAAAAAAUUUAAAUUAGAUUUAGGUUUAGAGUAAAAUACUAAUUAAUUAGGUUUUCUUUUAUUUUGUUUAAUUAGGUUUAAUUAGGGUAGUCAAAUAGUUUCCUAUUUAUUAGUUUUUUUAGUUUUAUUUAUUUUUUUUAUUUAUUUUAGUUUAUAUAUUUAAGUUAGCAUUAAAAUAUCAAUUAGUUGUUAAGUGGCCUGGUGGAGAGGAGUGGUAUUUAAGUCUUAGGUGGAGUGAGUUCGAUACUCGUAGAUAGCAUUUUUAGUAUUUCUUUUUUAGUAUUUCAUUUCUUUUUUAGCAUUUCA
rnacentral:lncRNA from 1 species